UACGGGGGGAGCAAGCGUUGUUCGGAUUUACUGGGCGUAAAGGGCGCGUAGGCGGUCAGCACAAGCCAGAUGUGAAAUCCCCGGGCUUAACCUGGGAAUGGCAUUUGGGACUGCAAGGCUUGAGUGCGGCAGAGGAGACUGGAAUUCCUGGUGUAGCAGUGAAAUGCGUAGAUAUCAGGAGGAAUACCGAUGGCGAAGGCAGGUCUCUGGGCUGACACUGACGCUCAUGCACGAAAGCGUGGGGAGCAAACAGG
rnacentral:rRNA from 1 species